UCCAGGUAGUCAAAAGGAAAUUAACUUUUUUUAAUGCUUUUUGAUGUUUAAUUGUUAAAUUGAUUUUUUUUUGGCGCUCAACAUAUUUUUCUAUGUUUCCUUUGAUGUUUUAGUGAAUUUGUUUCAUCAUUGUAAUCAUCAUCAUCUCGUCAGCUUGAAUUAGCAACUGUUGGUCAAAUACAAACAAGUUCUUUUUUUGCUGAAUCUUUGAUCCAACUAGCAUUUGAGUGAUAAAAAAAAGUUUGUUAUAAAUAAAAUGAAAAUUGAUGUCCUUUUGUUAAUUACAAUAAUAGCUUUUAGUCCCAUUUAUUCAACAGAUGAUGGAAGCAAAAACGAAUUUUCUAUUUUGGAAAAAGAUCGGUGUUAUUUUCAAUGCAAAAUUAAGCAAAUUCAUUGCCAACAUGUGUUGAAACUUUUUCGGUCAUGCACAAAGGAUUAUCGUUCCUGUGCAAAAAACUGUAGAUAACAAGUUUAACAAAACAUUACGAAAAAUAACUUUUUUAGCACUUAAAUAUAAAUUCUGCAUGUAAAUAAAAUACUUAAAAUAAAACCGUACUUGUUCUA